UGAGCGGCAGAGCUCAGAUUUGAAAUCGUGCUUUGCGGCACGAGUUGUAGAUUGCAGGUUGGAGUCUGUGUGGAAGGCGGUGUCCAAGUCCCUUGGAACAGGGCGCCCAGGAGGGUGAGAGCCCCGUGGGAUGCCGGCGGAAGCAGUGAGGCCCUUCUGACGAGUCGAGUUGUUUGGGAAUGCAGCUCCAAGCGGGUGGUAAAUUCCAUCUAAGGCUAAAUACUGGCGAGAGACCGAUAGCGAACAAGUACUGUGAAGGAAAGAUGAAAAGCACUUUGAAAAGAGAGUGAAACAGCACGUGAAAUUGUUGAAAGGGAAGGGUAUUGCGCCCGACAUGGGGAUUGCGCACCGCUGCCUCUCGUGGGCGGCGCUCUGGGCUUUCCCUGGGCCAGCAUCGGUUCUUGCUGCAGGAGAAGGGGUUCUGGAACGUGGCUCUUCGGAGUGUUAUAGCCAGGGCCAGAUGCUGCGUGCGGGGACCGAGGACUGCGGCCGUGUAGGUCACGGAUGCUGGCAG
rnacentral:rRNA from 1 species